UACGUAGGUGGCAAGCGUUGUCCGGAUUUACUGGGCGUAAAGGGAGCGUAGGUGGAUAUUUAAGUGGGAUGUGAAAAUACUCGGGCUUAACCUGAGUGCUGCAUUCCAAACUGGAUAUCUGGAGUGCAGGAGAGGAAAGUAGAAUUCCUAGUGUAGCGGUGAAAUGCGUAGAGAUUAGGAAGAAUACCAGUGGCGAAGGCGAC
rnacentral:rRNA from 1 species